rnacentral:tRNA from 1 species
GCAGGAAUGGCGGAAUGGUAUACGCGUCAGAUUUAGGAUCUGAAUUUUGAAGGUUCGAGUCCUUCUUCCUGUA